rnacentral:misc_RNA from 1 species
GAUGAAGAACGUAGCGAAAUGCGAUAAGUAAUGUGAAUUGCAGAAUUCAGUGGAUCAUCGAAUCUUUGAACUCACAUUGCGCCCCCUGGUAUUCCGGGGGGCAUGCCUGUCCGAGCGUCAUUACAACCCUCAAGCUCAGCUUGGUGUUGGGCCCCGCCGCCCCGUCGGGCCCUAAAGUCAGUGGCGGUGCAGUCCGGCUCCGAGCGUAGUAAUUCUUCUCGCUCUGGAUGUCCGGUCGUGUGCUCGCCAGCAACCCCCAAUUUUUUUCAGGUUGACCUCGGAUCAGGUAGGGAUACCCGCUGAACUUAAGCAUAUCAAUAAGCGGAGGA